rnacentral:tRNA from 1 species
GGCCUUGUGGCCUAAUGGAUAAGGCGUCGGCCUCCGGAGCCGAAGAUUGUGGGUUUGAGUUCCAUCAAGGUCG